CCUCCCUCCCUCCCUCAGUCCCUCCCUCAGUCCCUCCCUCAGUCCCUCCCUCCCUCCCUGUUUACCCCCUUUCUCUAUCAGCCUUUCACACUUCCACAUCUUCGUAACGUCCAAUCAAGGAGCGACCUUGGAAUUACCUAUAUACUGCAUGUAUCCCGAUCAGCGCCCUGUUCCCUUCAGACUGUCCAGACCAGACCGGCCCUUUGGUUUUCCCUAUGUGGUGAAAAGGGGGCCAUUUGGGAUGCACACUGAGUUCUAACUCACCUUUAGGUUACCUUUGGCUGUGCUCCAUCCUGUCUGUUGGUCACACCUGGCUCGUUGGAGAUGAUCCACUGAGAACACUGAAACAUCCGUCUCCUCUGACAGGAGUCUUUCAGAAGACCUCCGACUGGGACAGGCUCUUGUGGGGUGUACUGGUGCAGACUUUAACAAUGCCACCUGUAAAGGAAUUUUGAUACUGCGCUAAAUACAAUGAACUUCUUUGCUAUCUGUUUUGUCCUGGUUUGGUUCAGUAAAAAAAAAAAGUCAGAAUGGAGAAAGCCCAGUUAAACCACUUCAAAGUCCUUUUUUCACCAUUCGUGCACCAAUCAAAACCACGUCUAUACAACUUGUAUUACUGGAAUGCCUCCAUUCCAAUAAGAAAUAGUGAUAUGGAAUUUCGACCCAUUUUACCCUGUUGACAUUUAGUAGACGUCUUUCUUUGACAGGGAGGUCUCUUAGUCGUGCUAUACAACUCAGUCAGGUGCUUCUUAGACCAAAACAAUGUCAGUAUUCUUUAAACUUUAAGAGGUCUCCCAUGGACAUUUGAGAGAGGGGAGGUUAAGUUUGCCGCUAUGGAGAGAAGUUAGCGCACAUCAUCUUUUUUAGAGAAGCGAUUGGCACUGCAUUGAUUUCUGUACACACUUUCUGUGGAAUCUAUACACCAAAUGUCUUUUCAAUGGAGAAGAGGGGAGGGUCUGGGGUGUUAAAGAAUAGAAUACAGUUCUGUGGUUUGUGUCCAAAUAGAAUCCCACGCAAUCUAGAAUCUCUUGGAGACAGUUCUGUAUGGUUGGUGUCCAAAUCCCACAGGUUCUAGAAUCUACGGGAUAAUGAUCUAUAUGGUGGGUGUCGAUAUAGAAUCCUGUUCGGUCUAGAUUCUAGAAUAUACAGGAUAGAAUUCUAUAUGGUUGCGAUCUAAGGACUGCAGUAAAUAAUAUUAAUAAACAUGUUUUCAAAUUAAUAUCAGAUUGGUGUUUGAGGGUGAAUGUGUGUGAGUGUGAGUGUGUGUGUGUUUGUUUCAGUGAGUGAGAGGUGCCCAGGUUUAGGCUCUAAUGCUGUGUUAGACAAGGCACAUAUAGGUUGGAUAAGCAAUAUGAUUUUUGUUUCUUGGGUUGGAGUUGGAGAAAUGGAGAGCUCAUUGGGUUUUGAUUGUAUUUGGUGAUUGAGAUGCACAUGUAUUGAUAGUGUUACAUCAGUAAAUUAUUUAUCCUAAAGCGGUUGACUACUGUGUUUUUUUGGAAGAAUACUGAGCGGGAGAGAGACAUGCGUGUGUGUGUGUGUGUGUGUGUGUGUGGGAGAGAGAGAAAAAAUUGUUUAUGAUUCAUGAUGUCGGACCGACUGACAGAAUUCACUUUGGUCUGGUCUGAGCUUGAGAUAACACACACACACACAAUGGAUUGUCCGAGGGCUCAGAAACUCUCCUGCCUUUAACCAUUCCCAAGGUCUG
ensembl:lncRNA